UACGGGGGGGUAAGCGUUGUUCGGAAUUACUGGGCGUAAAGGGCUCGUAGGCGGCCAACUAAGUCAGACGUGAAAUCCCUCAGCUUAACUGGGGAACUGCGUCUGAUACUGGAUGGCUUGGAUUCGGGAGAGGAAUGCGGAAUUCCAGGUGUAGCGGUGAAAUGCGUAGAUAUGUCACAGAACACCAAUUGCGAAGGCAGCUUACUAAAGUCUUAUUGACGCUGAGGCACGAAAGCGUGGGGAUCAAACAGG
rnacentral:rRNA from 1 species